rnacentral:tRNA from 1 species
GCCUGGGUGGCUCAGUCAGUUGAGCAUCUGACUUCAGCUCAGGUCAUGAUCUCAGUUUGUGAGUUCAAACCCCAUGUCGGGCU